rnacentral:tRNA from 1 species
GUAGCCUAGUCUGGAUAUGGCGGCGGCCUCCUAAGCCGCAGGUCCGGGGUUCGAAUCCCCGCGGA